ACAUACCGAAAGGUAUGCUAAUACGAGAUAAUAUGCUUUUAUCGCAUGGUAGAAGUAUCAAAGCUCCGGCGGUACAGGAUGGACCCGCGUCUGAUUAGCUAGUUGGUGAGGUAACGGCUCACCAAGGCGACGAUCAGUAGCCGACCUGAGAGGGUGAUCGGCCACAUUGGAACUGAGACACGGUCCAAACUCCUACGGGAGGCAGCAGUGGGGAAUAUUGCACAAGGGGCGAAAGCCUGAUGCAGCAACGCCGCG
rnacentral:rRNA from 1 species